rnacentral:rRNA from 1 species
CACGGGGGGAGCAAGCGUUGUUCGGAAUCACUGGGCGUAAAGGGCGUGUAGGCGGUCAAGUAAGUGGAAUGUGAAAUCCCCCGGCUUACCCGGGGACCGGCAUCCCAUACUGCUUGGCUUGAGUACGGGAGAGGAUGUGGGAAUUCCUGGUGUAGCGGUGAAAUGCGUAGAUAUCUGGAGGAACACCGGUGGCGAAGGCGGCAUCCUGGACCGGUAUUGACGCUGAGGCGCGAAAGCCAGGGGAGCAAACGGG